rnacentral:rRNA from 1 species
AUUGAACGCUGGCGGCAUGCCUUACACAUGCAAGUCGAACGGUAACGCGGGGCAACCUGGCGACGAGUGGCGAACGGGUGAGUAAUUCAUCGGAACGUGCCCAGAAGUGGGGUAUAGCCCGGCGAAAGCCGGAUUAAUACCGCAUGAGACCUGAGGGUGAAAGCGGGGGAUCGCAAGACCUCGCGCUUUUGGAGCGGCCGAUGUCAGAUUAGCUAGUUGGUGGGGUAAAGGCCUACCAAGGCGACGAUCUGUAGCUGGUCUGAGAGGACGACCAGCCACACUGGGACUGAGACACGGCCCAGACUCCUACGGGAGGCAGCAGUGGGGAAUUUUGGACAAUGGGCGCAAGCAUGAUCCAGCCAUGCCGCGUGCGGGAAGAAGGACUUCGGGUUGUAAACCGCUUUUGUCAGGGAAGAAACGCUCUGGGCUAAUACCCUGGGGUAAUGACGGUACCUGAAGAAUAAGCACCGGCUAACUACGUG